rnacentral:rRNA from 1 species
GACGUAGGUGGCGAACGUUAUCCGGAAUUAUUGGGCGUAAAGGGUGCGUAGAUGGCCUGACAAGUUAGCAGUGGGAAAUCGAGGCUCAACCUCGUGGAAGCUGGUAAUACUGUCUGGCUCGAGUGCAGGAGAGGUUAACGGAACUCCAUGUGGAGCGGUAAAAUGCGUAGAUAUAUGGAAGAACACCAAUAACGGCGAAGGCAGUUAACUAUUCUGCUACCGACAUUGAGGCACGAAAGCGUGGGGAGCAAAAAGG